rnacentral:rRNA from 1 species
AGUGAACGCUGGCGGUAGGCCUAACACAUGCAAGUCGAACGGCAGCACAGUAAGAGCUUGCUCUUACGGGUGGCGAGUGGCGGACGGGUGAGGAAUACAUCGGAAUCUACUUUUUCGUGGGGGAUAACGUAGGGAAACUUACGCUAAUACCGCAUACGACCUACGGGUGAAAGCAGGGGAUCUUCGGACCUUGCGCGAUUGAAUGAGCCGAUGUCGGAUUAGCUAGUUGGCGGGGUAAAGGCCCACCAAGGCGACGAUCCGUAGCUGGUCUGAGAGGAUGAUCAGCCACACUGGAACUGAGACACGGUCCAGACUCCUACGGGAGGCAGCAGUGGGGAAUAUUGGGCAAUGGGCGCAAGCCUGAUCCAGCCAUACCGCGUGGGUGAAGAAGGCCUUCGGGUUGUAAAGCCCUUUUGUUGGGAAAGAAAGGCAGCAGGUUAAUACCCCGCUGUUCUGACGGUACCCAAAGAAUAAGCACCGGCUAACUUCGUG